rnacentral:rRNA from 1 species
AUGGCCUUCCCAGAUGCCCUUGAUAAUUGUGAACUUGUUGAUCUGGGCUUUAAAGGAGUUCCCUUCACUUAUGAUAAUAAAAGGGGAGGUAGGAAGAAUGUCAAGGCUUGGGCUGCAACUGGUGAUAAAAGUGACCUGGGCGCUAUCCAGGACUGCCUAGGGAGCGCGAUGGAAUCGUUGCAAGCUUGGAGCAGUCCCAAAUUUGGUAACAUACUUCGUGAGCUUGAAUCGGACACAUUGAGGCAGCUGAAAUCCAAGUCAGAUUUGCCAUGGACCGUCAUGGGUGAUUUCAACGAAGCGCUAUGGCAAUUUGAGCACUUUUCCUUCACCGCUCGAGCUGAAGGGCAAAUGGUGGCCUUCCCAGAUGCUUUUGAUGAUUGUGAACUUGUUGAUCUGAGCUUUAAAGGAGUUCCUUUCACUUAUAUCUCUAUUUCUAAUGUCUCAAUUGUUAGAACCUCACUUCAUACUAACCAACCUUGGAAGUUCAAUCGAUCUAAUUUUUGUCCUUAUUACCCUCCGAGGAGAGAAGGAUCAUCGGACAUGAGCGGCGGCAUCCGGCGCCAGUUCCUAAACCUGGGGCUGUUUGACGGGCGCAAACGCGCGUAUUCGCUGCGCCGCUUGGACCUCUCCAAAAUGGAUUUUUUUCACCGGACCGCACAAGAGGCGGCCACACAUGGCAAGGUGGUGCCAACACUGAUGCCCGCCAAGGCAUGUGCGUCCAACAGGAGAAGGAUAUGCAAGACCGACUUGGCGACGGCAGAGGCGGCGGCACCCAAGAUCAAUCCGCCAAAAAGCGAGCUGCUCGUGAGGCCACCGGAAGUCUCCUACUCCAUAAGGUCUCCUCGUUGUCUUCAUUUCUUGCCCACGGCCUCGGAGAGCAAGGUCAUCUUGGCUGAUCACGCGAACCGCAUGUUACGCUUCGACACCAUUGACAGUUGCAGC